rnacentral:lncRNA from 1 species
AUACUCUUUUAUAAGUCAAUUUAUUGAAAACUACGAAUUCAUGAUAAAAGUUAACUAAACAAGACGCUUGAUCCACAAGAUUCUAUGAUCUUGAAAAAUCUCAACGCAUAUGAAUUAGUAUGAUCAUGACCGAGAGUAUAUCCCUAGUAUUUUUCUUACCAAAAUUCCCCUUUUCUUUAUUUCUUUUAAAUUGGGGUUUACUGUUGAUCUGAAGGGAUAACAUAAAACAGCAAACAGUGUGAAUAUUUAACAGCAAAAAGUGUGAAUAGCUAGGUAUAAAGCAAAAGGGAAAUCAAAAGCAGAUACAUAUUAAUCAAGAAAAGUACAAUUAUUAAGGGUCUAACAUAUACCAUGUGGUGUACAAAUAAACCCCUUUUCUCCUUUUCCAGAAAUUGAACAGUUAAGGUCGUAGAAUAUAGAUGAAACCGAGUUAAAGAAAGAGGGAAAUUGAGAAAUGGAAAAAGGUAAAACCUUUUCUGUGCAGCUUCAGCAGCUUUGACACGCGCUUCUUCAGAGGCCACUCUCUCUUCUUCCUUGCUCAUGCGAUUGUCUGCGCCGAAGCAACCAAAGCAACUACAAAGACCCAUUUUUUAUCUCUCUUUCUUUCUCUUCUUCUCACAGCUUCACCUUCUCUUACACUUUCAAUCUAAUCGAAUUUCGGGCAAAAUACAAACUUUAUUAUUUUCUUUAUAAAGAAACUUUUGACACCGGAAAAAUUUAAAAUAUUCACUUAAUAACCCAUUGUAAUAAUAUAUGUUAGUAUUUUAAAUUUAGAAAUAAAAUAAAUAUAAUUAAAAUAUUAAUUUAUUGAAUUAUUAGAUAGGUGUAAUAACUCUUUCGAGUAUAGUUAAUUGAUUUAAAUUUAAUUUAAAAAAGUUGGCAUGCUCGAUUGUGAUUUCAUUAUAAUAAUACAUAGAUGUAUUCGUGCUUUCCUAACAUACUUCAUAACAUAAAAAUACCUCUUUUCUUAUAAAAUUUAAUAUCUAGAAUAUUAAUAAAGAAAUUCUCCUUUUUAAUUAUAUAUACUUUUACUUUUUAAGUAACUAUUUUUUAAAUUUAAAUAAUCAAUUAUAAUAAAAAAUAAUUUUUUAAAUUUAAAUAAUUAUUCAAAUAACAAAAUUACUUGUACAAUAAAAAAAUUUAUCUACAACAUCAAUAUUUUGUCUUUAACUUUUUUUUUAAAAAAAGAACUGAAAUUAUGUUCCAAAUAAAUAAUAUACCAUGGUUGCUAAAGUUUAUAUAUCACUUAUAAACUUAAAGAUCGCCUGACAUAAUUAUUGAGGCGGUGUUUGGACUAAAACAUCGAAUGUAUGAUAUAUAUAAAUAAAUCUUAUAAUAAAGUUAUUUAAUUUUAAAAUUAAUUUUUAUGAAAAUAUUUUUAUAAUUAUUUUUUAUGAAAUAAUUUUUAUAUUUAAUAAUAUAUCUUUUAUUUUAUCUAAACCAUUAUAUAAAAAAGAUAUAACAUUUGAUAAUUUUUUAAUUAAACAAUUAUAUUUUUUAAUAAUAAAAAAUAAUUUAUUUAUUUAACAAAAUAACUAGUUAAAUAAUUUAUCUUUAUUCAAAAUAAUUUCUUUGAAAUAACAUUAUUAUGGUCAACUAUUAUAUCUAAAAUAUUUAUUAUAUUUAAGCUAUUGUCCACUUUAAAGUUUCAUCGUAAUCUUAUCUUAAAAGACACAUAGUCCUUAAAAGACGAGUAUGGUUGAAAAUUUUCACUUAGCUUGUUAAUAUUAGUAGUUGUAAUGAAAGAUGAAUAGUAGAGUAGAAGGAAAUAUAUUAGUUCUAUUGAUAAUCUUAGAGAAAAAUAAAUAUUGGAUAUAAUGUUUGAAGGGCCACACUUCACUAAUUCGUUAUAUGAUGCUUAAAGCUGGUUAAGUAAACAAGUUGAGGACUUGAAUGUUUAUAGAAAGCAAAUAGAAUUGCUGAAUUUCAUGCAAUAAAGGAGAAGAAAAUCAAACUGCCAUCUCAACUUAUCCAGUUUUCCAUUCACCACGAUUUCGUUACAAAUUGUUGCUGUAAAGAUCUUUACAUCGAACAAGGGAAACAUGCAGAGUGUAGAAUUUUGAUUGGAUCUAUCAUCAAUACUGUAACACAAGAAACAAAAACUAAUGAGACAAUUAUCCCAUCCAUAUAGAGACAUUUACAUUCUGAGAAGUAAAAAGGCACUUGAUAUUGGUCUCUACUUUAACACAAUAUAUGUUACAAUUUACAAACAAAAUACAAGUGGUUCUAAUCAACACAACAGGAAGAAAUCGGUUUAAGUUUUAAACUAAUUCGAGUGUGUUGAUAAGAUUCAGCAUAUGAGUUUGUUUUUGUAUAGUUCAGUGGCAGAUCUCUAUAUGAUAUGUUUACUCCAGGAAAAAAUGGAAUGUAUUGACUGACAAGAACCAAAUGAACGUAGUCUUGCAUUUUAAAACUAAACUAUUUCCAUAACUAAAUAAAUGGGCAAAGUAGAAUUCAUCAGAUGGAUCAUUCAUCUUACACCUAAUCAAAGUUGAUUCUACAGACUGUCUAACCUCAACCCAUUUGCCAUUGCAUUCACAAAUGGAAGAACCAAAACAUAUGAGAUAUAAUAAAAUGAGUAUGGUACAAAGUUAUUUGAAGGUUGUUAGUCAAAAAGAAUAGGCAAGAAAGCAGUGUAUUACAGGGCAUUGGGCAAUGACGUUUUUAAAGAAAUCAAAAACUAAUUCAACAAAAUAAGUGGUGUCUUGAAUCACCAAACCUUUAGAACUGGUUUGCCUUUGUUGGUGUUUGCAGAUUGCUUUGCCAUUGCUUGUUGAUGUGCACGUGCAGCUCGUCCUGGUGCAGAAAUCUCAAAUACCUGUUGUCUGCAAUUCCAAUUAACACGCACAAAUUGGUCUACAGUUACUUUACUUAUGCAGUCACUAACCCAUAAAAGAGGCAUUAUAAAUUAUAAUGUCUCUUGUUGUUUCAUCAUGCUUCACACCACCUCUAAAAAUAUACUAUAUUCCAUUAUCUAUUUGUUAACUGCAGUAAGCCUUGCACCCUUAUUGGUGAAAGAAAAAAAAAAAAAAACCUGCACCAAUUCUCUAUUAUGACUUCCACAAAUAUUUCAGAAAGUUUACUAGUAGUACCUAACAUCCAAUAAACAAUCCCCAUGGACAUUGACAUUGAAUUUUCCCAGACAAUUGUGAUAUUAGUAUAAUAUAAUGUCUCUAGUGUAUGGAAUGCAUCACAAAGAAACAUGAACAAAUCAAUGUAUGUCAUUCAAGGAUGAGAAUCAGUGAGCUAUAUAACAAAACUAAGGCCUCAGAACUAUACAACAACAAAAGUGCUAAUAACAGAUUCUCUAACACUCUAUAGAAUACUCUUUUAUAAGUCAAUUUAUUGAAAACUACGAAUUCAUGAUCAAAGUUAACUAAAUAAGGGGCUUGAUCCACAACAUUCUAUGAUAUAGCUAGGUAUAAAGCAAAAGGGAAAUCAAAAGGCAGAUACAUAUUUAAUCAAGAAAAGUACAAUGAUUAAGGGUCUAACAUACAAUGUGGUGUACAAAUAAAACCCCUUUUUCCUUUUCCAGA